ACUUCACUUUUUACCCUUAAAAAAGUCUAUUAUUAAUUCUGCCCUUCUGCCUUUUCCCCUUUAGUCGGAGCCUUUUCCCCGUUUCCUGGCUUCCUGCUCCAUCACUCAGGCGGUGGUGCUUUCUCUCUCCUUUGGUCACUUCCUCUCGAAUCUUUCCUCUCUCAUAUCUCCAUUUUCUCCCUCCUUCCUCCAUUUUACUUUUAUCUGGGCAAAUCUCACAUCGCAAAAAUGUAGUAGCAGCAAUGAAACCCAAGGACAGUGGCUCACUAAUUUCAUUCUUCUUCGCACUUCACCUAUUGGACUACUCUUACUUUUCUCUCUCCUUCCUUUGCGAGAUUGCCGUCGAUAUAUAAAAAAUGGUUAGAGGAUCGCUCAAAAAUCUCCUUUCUAAAUGUCUCUCAUUCGCCGGAAAAUGGCCGCAGCAGCUCCGCCGUCUCAACACCCACGAAUAUCAAUUUAUUAGAAGAAAUACAACUUCAACCUUCUCCUGUCGAACAAUUAUAGCCCUUUUUUGUGCUUGAACUUGGAGGAAAACAACUGAUUUUCUCAAUUUAGGAGAAAUUAUGUGUGAUUAUGAGGCAAUCGUUGCCGAUGAUAUGCGAAUAUGGAUGAACGGAAGCGAAAAUAGAUGCUUUCGAACCGCGAAUCUGCCCAAAGGUCGAGGAUGAAGAAGCAGAAACAUUUGGAUAAGCAUUUGGGUUCUCAAGUCAGUAUUUUCCUAAUACUACAAACUAUUCCGAUGAACACUCAUGUUGGUUCUCAAAAUGACGAAGAAUGGAAGUAAGAAGCCUGAAAUUGCCUCGAAGUCUAUUUUAGCACCUUAUGAGAAAGUAAGGUCCAUGACUAUAGAAAGAAAUGCCUAGAGGUUUAGAGAAUUACGGCUCGACAAGAUUGCAAACACAAUUGUUGGAAAAAAAUAAGAACUUUGCAAAAAGGAAAGGAGAAUGUGAGUUCUAAUGUAGAUGAAAAAGACUAUGUGCCUGAUGAAGAAAAUUGUGACCUUGAUGAGGAGUUUGAGAUGUCUUGAGAAGCAACAACCUCUAUACCUAAGAAGAAGGCAAGAACUAGAGAACAACCAACUAGGAAGAAUAAGAAGCAGCCAUUGUGCCCAUCUAUGGCAAUGGACGAUUUCCUUGUUGCUCAAAAUCAAAUGGAUCCAGCUGAAGUACGACAAAUAGAGCAAGAUGUACAGCAAUUGGAGCAAGAUUGACAAAGAUCUAAGCGUCCGCUUUUGACCAUUGUUCCACUAGAAAGCCGAGGAGAAUCUGUCUCCGCACAAGGUUUGUCUUUAAUACUCCACCCCUUUAAAAUUCAUGAAAAAUCUUAUCUGCCUCCGCACAAGGUUUGUCUUAUGGUCUUGUAAACUUUUUAGUUAUUCAAUCCAAGGUUAGACAACUUUCUAUAAUAUGCUUCUAAAACUGCUUCUUCUCUUAUUAUAUAAGUAAUUAGCAGUAAACAAUGAACAAACUACAAGCUAAGUGCCAUUAUAAAAUCAAACGUAAUUAUGUUCUGGUUGAAGCAAGUUUUGUUAGGCUUGUGGGGGAGUAUGGGAGUAUUUGAAGUGAGUUUUUGCUCCGGGAGGUGUUGCUGCUGCACGUGGCAAAACGUGACUGCUUGUGUUGAUCAAGGGGACAUUGCUAGUGCAGGGUCUGCUACUGUUGAUGCAGGGUAUGCUGCUGUUGAUGCAGGUUCUGGUGCUGUUGUUGAUGUAGGGUCUGCUGCUACUUAAGCAGGGCCUGUUGUUGAUAGUGCAAGGCCUGCUGGUAAUGGUGUAGUGCCUACUGCUGAUGGUGCAGUGCCUGCUGCUGAUGGUACAUGGCAAUGUAGGUUAUGUUGUUGAUGCAGGGUAUGCUGCUGUUGAUGCAGGAUAUGCUGCUGUUGAUGCAGGUUCUGGUGCUAUUGUUGAUGUAGGGUCUGCUGCUACUUAAGCAGGGCCUGUUGCUGAUGGUGCAAGGCCUGCUGGUAAUGGUGUAGUGCCUACUACCGAUGGUACAUGGCAAUGCAGGUUAUGUUGUUGAUUCUUGUGCAGGACCUGCUGAUGCAUAAGACUUGGUUUACAGUUCUCUAGAAUUAUAAAAUACAAAACAGAUUGGAAGUUCUGUAAAUUGAGUGGAGUGAUUUCAAUUUUUUUGGAAGUUGUCUAAGUAUGGGAAAACAAAAGCAUUUUGAUUGUUUGUGUCUUAGAACUCUCUUAAACUUCAAAUUUAUUUUGGUACAAUUUGUUACUUGGGAUCCUUUUCUUUGUUUGUUUGUCAAAGUGAUCUAGUUAAUGCCUUAAAAACUAUUGAAUGCUUGUGACAUUUUUACUUAUGAACUUUUCCAUGUCAUGUAAUUGCAUUUAUAAAGUUGCGAUUGUAAUC